ACCCYGACUGAACUUAAGCAUAUCAAUAAGCGGAGAAAAAGAAACUAACCAGAUUCCCCUAGUAACUGC
rnacentral:rRNA from 1 species